GAUGGAAGGCUGAGUCAACCUUGAGCCCCUGGUCAGGAUCGAACUUGUAACCUUCUGGUUACAGGGCGGCAGUUUUACCACUGCGCCACCAGGGGCUCCAUGUGAGAACCAUCUUAAGUGAGAACCAUAGGGAAAAGUCUCAGCGACAGGGUGCUGGUUGGUUGCCCAGCGUAUAAACACGAUGCAGCUUGAUUGGGGAUGACCCUAAAAAGGAUGAACAAUCCAUAUCACAGAAAUGGGAAGAAAAUUGCUCUCCCCCUCUGCUCUGAAUCUUAUGCUGAACAGGCACCAACAGGGGCAUUCAAACUGCAAGAGCAUUUCAGCUAAAAGGCUUCAGCAAAAAACCAGCAAAGGCCUCUCUCUUGCUUCUCUGUAAUAUAUAAAGUAGCAAAGCUUUUGCAAUCUAAUAUCCUGGAGGAAAGAGUUCUUGGGUCUUGAACAAACACAGUCUACACCAGUGUGCGCCACAAGAAGAGGCGGGAUAACACUGCAGGAUGCUUACAAGGAAAGUGCCUUAAACUGAACUCUCACUUGAGUUGACUUACAGAAAAGGCAACCCACAUUCUUCAAGGAAAGACUUUCCCAAUGGGAAGAAUCAUAAACUAUGGGUUACCUGCAUCAGAAAGGACAAGACUUUAUCACAGGGGCAUUUACGCAGAGAAUGUUAGCCUACGACUAACUCCCAUUUAAAUUAGUGACAUUUAAGUUAGACACACAACUAACCUGUCUAUCAGAUUUCAUCUUUAUAUGUUUUGAACAUUAUACAGUAUGAGUGCAUGUAAACAUACAUUUAAACUAUUGUCACUGAGGUCUGGAAGUAAAGGUAAAGUGUGCCGUCAAGUCGGUGUCAACUCCUGGUGACCACAGAGCCGGUGUCAACUCCUGGUGAACACAGAGCCAUCUGGUUUUCUCUGGUAGAAUACAGGAGGGGUUUACCAUUGCCAUCUCCUGUGCAGUAUGAGAGGAUGCCUUUCAGCAUUUUCCUAUCUUUCUGCUGCUCUCUAAGGUAGGAAACAUACCAGUGGGGGUUCAAACCAGCAACCUCUUGCUCCCUAGGCAAAUUACUUCCCCAUUGCACCAUUAGAUGGCUUUAGUCUGGAAGUACACUUACCAUAUUAUUAUCAGAUGUGUCUAUUCCUCUCCAGGGUGAGCUCAGGAAAACCAGAACUACUGGCUCACAGUAGAAGCUAGCUGUGCACAGUGUUGAUUGGCUGGUGAUUGUGAUGUCACAAUAAUACCUCUCUUCCACCCCCCUAAUCUAAGAGCAGUUUUACAACCUUUGAAAAUAUAAUCGUGCUUUUUUAAAGGCACUAAAUGAAUGUUGAAUAAAGAUACAUGCACUCCUUUGAAAAGGUUAAGAAAAAAGGGGGCCCAAGAACUCAACUGAAGUAUAGGGACAGGGGCAAGGUUGACAACUUGAACCUGCCUUGAAAAAUCAUUGAUAAGUCUUUUAUAUACAAAGCAAAGGCAAAAAGAAACUGGGCUCAUAACAUGGGAAAAAGAAAACACAGCAACUGGUGUUUUGAUCUACAUUUGUACACGUCUUAUUAAUACUUUUACAUAUGUUAAAUAAGAAUCCACUUUUUACAUAGUUAACGUCUUUAGCAAUAUGGAUAGUUGUUCUUCCUCACUGUUUUUCCCAAUCUUUUGCAACCAGUAGAUAACAUAAAAAUGACAGCAAUCAGACAAGCAAUAUGUGUGUACCUGUUUGUGUUGUAUUGUUUGUGUGUACAAACAAUAUGCGUUGUUUCCAGCACCUGCCACAACAUAAAAUUGUCCACAGAAUUACUAUUACACUAUUACACUUUAUAUAACAGCUGGUACUACAGUAAAAGUCAGUGUGCAUAGCCUUCAUCAGCUAAAAUAAUAAUUAUGUGCAGUAUUCAGUGUUGAGUAAAUGUUAGCUCUGUGCCCCCACAUGUAGAUGGUUUUUUGCUGGUUUCAGUUCCCUUACGUAAGGAAUCCACCCACCCAAACGUUUCUAACAUUUCCACCUCAAGUUCAAUAUUUCUGAAACGGGGAAUACUAAUGUAACACCUCCCAAUCACUAAUUUUCUCUAUCACUCAGCUAGCAGAAUACACUGCACUUGUGUUAGUCAACAGUGCAGUGCUUACUGUAGGUACAUGUCCAGAAAGUGCAAUGAAAAGAGAUUGCCCAAAAUAUAACUCAAUUUUUUCACUGAAGUAUAAAUCCUCAGGGUCUGCUCCAGGUUCCAGCAUCCUGGGGAAAAGCCCUGUGUUGGGCCCCCCUGCCCAACAUGGAGAAGGCGUAUGCAGAUUCACACUGCCCUUCUCAAUGGUACCCAGCUCAAUAAGUAGGAAAGCUAACUGGGUUCUUUCUUCAGUGCCAAAGCAAUGACAACACAGGAAAGCUAAAGGGGGAGCAUGUGGAUGUUCCUAUCUGAGUGCUGCCACUCUAGCUGUGGGUGACAGUGCUGAAGGAGAAGCAUAUGCUGCCACAGCUUACCAGAUGAUGAUGGGCAACUGAGAACACUCUUCUUAGUGAUAGACUGUGGCCACUGCUGAGUGGAGCAUCCACUGCCAGCACUGCCCCAUCACCCAGUAAACCAGGGCCCAUUGGACAGUGGUGGGCAGCACCAGAUAAUCCAGGGACUUCAGAAGUUGGCCAGGUGGACCCUUCAAUGGCUGUGGGUCUGUCAGAUAUAUUAGAAUGAAAUCACCCCUUAUUUGCAUUUGGUCAUUUGAUUCAACUCUGGCCUAGAAAAUUAUUUUCUUACCUGUUACCUUUUCACCUGAAAUUUCAUGCUUGUGUCUUUCUAUAUUGCUUGUAUUUUUUUUAAUAUAGUGACUAUCUAGUUCUCUGUUCCUCAGAUAUAAGUAUUAGUGAAGGAAUGUAUAACCACAUAAAAGGGAUUAAUUAUAUAUGAGUGGGAGUAACAAUAGAUCAAAGAAAGUUGUAAAUAAGAUUUUUCUGUUAAGAGAGGACCAGAUUGCUGAUGUAUUCCUCUUGUUAUGAUUUCCUGCUUGCUCAUGAAUAAUUUUAGAACUAAAAAGCAUAAACCCAAAUGGAGAAUCAGGUUGUCUCCUAAUAUCUCAAACUGUCUCUGGGCAGUUUGUGAGUACAGCAGUGGUAAGAUUUUUUAAUUAAGGCCACUCUGACAUUCUUUCAUAUAAAGCCUUCUGUAAUAAGUUCUUUUUUGAUGUCUUAUGCUUUGUCUAUGGUUUAUGUUCGGUAUAAGCUGUACUAGAAAUGAUAUUAAUAAACAAGUAUUUUCA